UUAGAAACUCUGUGUUAUCAAGGACUCCAUAUUAACUUCUCCAUUGGAUUGGUCGAACAGUGCAAAAUAAAACCUCCCCCUACAGUUUUCUCUCUCGUCAACACCAGUAUGCGGGCAAUCUAGUUUCAGACGUUUUUUAUUUUUUUAAGAUAAUUACAGUAUUUUUAAUGGGAGGAAAAUUGAGGGGAGGGCUUUAGGAUUUGUGUGACAGUUCAACAGCGCAAUCUCCGUACAGGGCAGUCAGACGGCUGGGGGCAAAAAAAUCGUAGAACUGGUUCUCGUAAGAGCUCGCAAGGGGGUGUCAAAUACGGACAUUGCCCCCCCCCCCCCGGGAAUAUAGCAUUUACUGAUGAUGUUGGUGUCUUUGAAGAGUUUCUGCUGCCUCUCCAGCUUCUAGACAAGAUCAUCUCUGACAGUGCAACAACCUGUCCAGCAUUUGACAAAGAUGCGAAGUGAACGAGUGCCAGACUUUGUGGGGAAAUGUCCAGACCGCAGCUCUUCACGUGAGACACAUCCAGAUUUGGGGUAACAUCUCCCAAUUGUCACGCCCAGCUGUUCAGACCAGAGAUGGAUCAAGAGCUCAACCUCUGCCACUAUUUCGGCAGAGAACAGACAGUGGACUAAACUCCAGGGAUGUAUGGGGAUACAGGAGAGACUGGCAACUACAGACAGCUCCAGGCUGGACCUGUCUGUCCCCUCUCUCUCUCUCUCUCUCCUCUAUCCUCAUCUUUCUGUCCCCUCCAUUGCUUGUAGACGACGACGACGACGAUGAUAUCUGUCAAGUCUUGUCCUGUUAUUUUCAUAACUAGGCAUCGAACAGAACAUAUGUCGGCUAGUUGGUGGAAUCAUCCCCAGAAUUGGUUUCAUUUGCAUUUAAAGUUAUUCACAGACAUCUCGGUAGGUUUUUUUUUCCCCUCCUGAAAUGGAGGAUCUCUGUUCUACUGCCUUUUUUUAGUAACCCAAUAAUCACCCUUUUGUCUGAACCAAGCAAUUUACCAUUAUAAUGAACAAAGUAUAGGUCUAGUUUCAGAUGUGCUGUGGACAGUGAGUUUGUUGUUGUUCUGAAAGGCCUCGUUCCCAACCUUCAACAACGGAGUAAAACAUAGUAGAUGUUGCAAACUG